GCGGCAGGCUGUGACCAAUCCAACCAACACAAUUUUUGGAACUAAGCGAUUGAUUGGUAGGAGGUUCGAUGAUCCUCAGACCCAGAAAGAGAUGAAAAUGGUUCCAUACAAGAUAGUUAAGGGCACCAAAUGGAGAUGCAUGGGUUGAGGCCAAUGGGCAGCAGUAUUCCCCUAGCCAGAUUGGUGCCUUCAUUUUGACCAAGAUGAAAGAAACUGCAGAGUCUUACCUUGGAAAGACGGUUACAAAAGCUGUUAUCACUGUACCAGCCUAUUUCAAUGAUGCU
rnacentral:misc_RNA from 1 species